rnacentral:rRNA from 1 species
GACGAACGCUGGCGGCGUGCUUAACACAUGCAAGUCGAACGGAAAGGCCCUGCUUUUGUGGGGUGCUCGAGUGGCGAACGGGUGAGUAACACGUGAGUAACCUGCCCUUGACUUUGGGAUAACUUCAGGAAACUGGGGUUAAUACCGGAUAGGAGCUCCUGUUGCAUGGUGGGGGUUGGAAAUUUUCGGCGGUUGGGGUUGGACUCGCGGCUUAUCAGCUUGUUGGUGGGGUGGUGGCUUACCAAGCCUUGGACGGGUAGCCGGCCUGAGAGGGUGACCGGCCACAUUGGGACUGAGAUACGGCCCAGACUCCUACGGGAGGCAGCAGUGGGGAAUAUUGCACAAUGGGCGGAAGCCUGAUGCAGCAACGCCGCGUGCGGGAUGACGGCCUUCGGGUUGUAAACCGCUUUCGCCUGUGACGAAGCGUGAGUGACGGUAAUGGGUAAAGAAGCACCGGCUAACUACGUG